rnacentral:piRNA from 1 species
UGCCCAGUUGGUCAAGGUCCUAGCUACUAGU